CUCCGGGCCUGCUUGAUUGGCUGAGAUACUAGACGUUGAUAGGAUAGGGCACCCUAAAAAACUGGGGAGAGAAGUUUGGGGUCGGGGCCUCGGAAAGGCGGGAGGUGCCCCACCGCUUUAGAAGCCCGGCGCAGUGCACGACGGGACGCCCCCGGGAAGGGGCGGAGCCGCGUCCGGGCUGCGGUUGGGAAAGCGCAGUCACUCCGAGGGGCGUGUUGAAGAGGGUUUCGCGGGCUCGAGCGGGGGAGGGGGGGACCGUUAAAACCCUGCCCCGCGCCGACAGGAAGCUGCUUUAAUGGCUAGGCCUACUUGGUACCAGGUUUUCGGCUGGGAAGGACCUUGAAGACCAUGCGGUUCAACUUCCAAUUUGCAGAUGUGGAAACUGAAGCCGAGAGAGGGUAUGCACCUUGUCCAAGGUUACUCAGCCGGUUAGUGGCCUUACUGGGACUGGACUCAAGCGCUCCUGACUGCUCUUGGCCUUACACGCAUCUCCUCCAAGGAGGCACGUGGGAUCUUAGCUCUCCGACCAGGGAUCAAACCCACACCCCCUGCACUGGAAGGUGAAGUCUUAACCACUGGACCGCCAGGGAAGUCCCUCUGCCAGGAAACGUCUAGAGGAUGUGGUACACCAAAACAAGAAUAAAUCAAGAAACAGGAAGACGUGAUCCUGGAAACAGGAUAUUCAACAGAGACGACGACCUGAGUUCCAGAGAGUGCCUUGCCGAAGGUCGCACAAGUCAGCAUUGGAGCCUCUAGCAGAACUCAGGUCUCCUGACACCCAGGGACACAUUAAAAUACUUUUUAAAAAACUGGUUAAAAAAAAUUACCAUCAACCAUUUUUAAGUGUAUAGUUCAGUAGUGUUAAGUAUAGUCACAUGGUUGUGUAACAAAUCUCUAGAACUUACUCAUCUUGCAAAACUGAAACUUUAUAUCCAUUGAACAACUCUCUACUUUCCCCUCACCCCUGCCCCUGGCAACCACCAUUCUACUUUCUGUCUAUGAAUUUGAGUGCUCUAGAUACCUUCUGUAAGUGGAAUCACACAGUAUGUGUCUCUUUGUGAUUGGCUCGUUUCACUUAGCAUAUGUCCUCGAGGUUGAUACAUUUCCUCCCUUAAGGCUGAACAGUAUUACAUUGUAGCACAUUUUGUUGAUCCGUUCUUCCAUCAACGGACACUUAGGUUGCUUCCACCUUUUAGCUAUUACGAAUAAUGCUGCUCUGAGCAUGGGUAUACACGUAUCUCUUUGAGAUAUUGCUUUCAGUCCUUUUGGAUAUAUACUUGGAAGUGGGAUUCCAGUAAUGCAUUUUUUUAAAAAAUUAUUUAUUUAUUUUCGGCUGUGUUUGGUCUUCGUUUCUGUGCGAGGGCUUUCUCUAGUUGGCGGCGAGCGGGUGCCACUCUUCAUCUCGGUGCACGGGCCUCUCACUGUCGCGGCCUCUCUUGUUGCGGAGCACAGGCUCCAGACGCGCAGGCUCAGUAGUUGUGGCUCAGUAGUUGUGGCUCCGCGGCAUGUGGGAUCUUCCCAGACCAGGGCUCGAACUCGUGUCCCCUGCAUUGGCAGGCAGAUUCUCAACCACUGCGCCACCAGGGAAGCCCCAGUAAUGCAUCUUUUAAGUUCUCCAUCUCAUUCCAAAAAUGAUUUGAGGCCACUGUCCCAGCACCUUCAUAAGUAUUAAAAAAAAAAAAAAAAGUUCUGAAUUUCUAAUGAAUGAACAAAGGGGUCAGAAUGGAACAGAGGAGACAGCAGAAAGGAGUGGCCUAUGAGAAGUUUGAUAGAAUAAAGCUUUUUACCUUUACCCUCGGGAAAUAGCUGCAAAUAAUUAAGAUCCACCAGAGAUGGACUGGAGUGGCCAAGGCUUGUUUUCUCAUCUACAUAAAGGUCUCCAGAGCAUUCCCAAAGUUGCAUUCAAACAGAGUAAGCCCUGUGCAUAUGAAAGGGUCACAAAGGAGGGAUUCGGUAUUCAUGGUACGUGGUCUGUACAGGGGUGGGUGCACAAACUCAGAUAUUCUGGGCCUGUCAUGGGACCUUCAUAAAGGAUCUAGUCAGAGUGGGGACUGUGGUAGAGUGUGCUGGUCAUAAGUCUGUACUCAGCUCCAGACAUUGAUGUCAGAUCUUACGAUUUUUCAAGAAAAACUAGAUACACCUGAAACUAACACAACAUUAUAAGUCAACUAUACUCCAAUAAAAUUUUUUUUAAAAAAAGAAAAGCUGGAAAUCUGGAUUUCUGUGUGAAAUACCAUGAUUUUUUAAAGCUGGCAUUUAAAUUUUCAAAAAGAUUUAAAAGGCAUUGUGUAAAUCAAAGACAAAAUACAAGUUUGCAACCUCUGGUGUGUGGUACUGUGGAGCAUUUAUGGUAGGUAGUGAGCUCUGGGGAAGAAUUGUGUCUGGUUUGUUUGGCCAGGGCUGAGAAGAGGUUAAUGGGGCCUAAAUCAAAUGCCUGCACCUGCACAAGCUCUGCCCUUCUGUCCUUGGGUAAAGUUUAAUGUGUUGCAGGCAGAGAGGAAAUGGCCUAAAAUGAACCAUUAAGUUCUCCUGGUAGCAUAUCUGUGCCGGUCAGACAGGAGGGGAGGGCCCCCAAUUUCGCAUCAUUUCUGUGAGAUUCAUUUGUGCCUACUUCACAGAACCGCUGUAGAAUAAAACAUCACAGAUUUGGAAAGGUGUUGAAUUUCUCCUAAAAUGUAAUGCAGGUGCUAACUGGGAUAAUUAUCUUGCCGUGAAGAGCUCAGAAGAGUGUAAUGUUUUGGGAACAGCUUCUAUAAAAGCUGACCUAGGAGAUGCUGGGCCCCAGCUGUGGCUGGAAGAAGUGAAGGGGAAAGAAUGUGUCAGCCGUUGUGCUCUGGUGGGUUUGAGAAGGAGGCAGAACACUGAUCUUUCCUGGAAGUGGCAUUGAAGAGUCAGUGCGGAGUUGAGACAUACAUGUGGCCAUAAAUGGCAUGACCCUGCUCCAAACAGCUCAGCUCGUGCCUGGCUUCGUGAACCUCACACUGGAAGUUUCAACUGCAAUAAACUUCUGACCUUUCCAUCAGUUCCUUUCAGUCAGAGUUUUAUAUGUUAUAGACUAUUUCAGGGACUUCCCUGGCGGUCCAGUAGUUAAGACUCCUCACUUCCACUGGAGGGGGCACGGGUUUGAUCCCUGGUCCGGGAACUAAGAUCCUGCAAGCUGCAUGGCACGGUCAGAAAGAAAAAAAAAAAAAAUUUCAUAUUCCCUCUUAGGAGAUUUGAACUGUUACCUCUGUUACUUAAGAAAGCAGCACUGCUUAUUACUACUACUACUAUCAUAAUGUUAGUAAUAUUCCUAUCAUGCUUUAUAACUUACAAGACCUUCCACUUGCAUUCUUCUCAUUUUGUUUCCUGGUAACUCUGAGAUUAUUAUUUCUCACUUUACAGAUAAGGAAACUGAUGGUUUCCCAUUGUCAUUUAGCUAAAGUUUAGAAUCUUCAACGUGACCUAAGUCCCUCCCUAGUCUGGGCCUUGCCUACCUCUCCAGAUCCCUCUUUCACUACCUUCCCAAGACCUCUCUUUGUUCCAGCUAUUCUGGGUUUCUUUUGAGGUACUUAAGUAGGUCAGGUUCUCUCCAGCCAUAGGCCUUGUGUUGCAUGUGCCGUUUCUCCCACAUAGGACACUUUUCCCUGUCCUCUUUGCCUGGCUAGCAACUACUCAUCUUUUGGGUCUCAGUUUAACACCAUUUCUUCACGGGAGCCUUUCCUGAACAUUGAGGCUAUGCUGGACUCCCCAGUAAUAUCCUCUUAUACCCCCCGGCACUUCCCAUUCCAAAGACUCAUCACACUUCACGUUACUCAUUCAAUAAUUCUUGUUCCUGCUGGACUGUAAGCUCCAUGAGGCAGAAACCAAAUCUACCUUAAUUGAUUCUAUAGUCUCAGUGCCUCGUAUAAUAUACUUUCAUUCUGAAAGUUUUUGUAAUGAGUCUGCUAUCUGGAUUCCAUUGCCAUGGAACUAAUGCAUCAAAACCUUGCCUUCAAGUCCAGUGCUGUGGGGCUUUUCUGACAGGCUUCUUCUGAUAUUUCAAUAACCAACAUCCUUUGAUGAGUGACCAAAAUGCACACCUCCCACAUCCAAUAGCAGGUUGUAAGGUUAGAACACAGCGACACUGUAUUCUUUAUUAAUGACUAGAAAAGGCUGGUGCUGUUCUCACCUCUUCUGUUGUUUCUGUGAUGCUCACAUACCAAUGAGAACCUUUGCCCAGCAUCCUUUUGGAGCAGUCAAGGGUGGAUCACAGAUGACAGGGACAUUAACAGCUAUUCAUGGCUUCCCUGGUGGCGCAGUGGUUAAGAAUCCACCUGCCAAUCCAGGGGACACGGGUUUGAGCCCUGGUCCAGGAAGAUCCCACAUGCCGCAGAGCGACUAAGCCUGUGCACCACAGCUACUGAGCCUGCGCUCUAGAGCCCGCGAGUCACAACUACUGAAACCCGCACAGCUCUAGAGAAGCCACUGCAGUGAGAAGCCCACGCACCACAACAAAGAGUAGCCCCCCCACCCCCGACCCCGCUCGCCGCAACUAGAGAAAGCCCGCGUGCAGCAACGAAGACCUAACGCAGCCAUAAAUAAAUUAAUAAAAUCUAUUAAAAUUUUUUAAAAAUAAAGGAUUAUUUUUAAAAAAUAAAAAACGAAAGCUAUUCUGACUAUUUGCAUCUCAGGUCUUGGUUUGGUGCACACCUGGGUCAUUUAUAGUUGGAUGGCACAUUUGUUUUACUUGUUGGAAGCAGUGAGGUAUAGUUACCAAAUUAAUGGUGCAAGCCUAGGAGUGGAAGUAAUACAGUCGCUCAAGCUGGCGAGGCAGGCAUUACGCAGGUAAGCAGGGUCCAGUGGGAGGAGCGCAUGGCCUCAUUUCAACAGCUGCAGCAAGCUGAAGUCCCUGAAGGUUUUCAAGCCAGCUACAUCUCUCCUCAGCACAGUCUUUAUGAAAUCUGUCACCAUAUAACUUCCUCAGUCCAGUUCACGGUGAUCAAAACUUGUGGCUAAAUACCCAGGCAGUGGCGUAUAAGGUUGCAAAUGGUAGUUCCAAAUAUAGUGCAGUUCACGUCUCCAGUAAGGAAAGAACAUUGAACGAAUUCAUUACAUGAACGGCUUAAACUAACUGAGCCUGAGAGCUUAAAGCCACAUUCCUCAAAUAUGUGCACUCCGCAAAACUGGCACUUAGUGUCAGGCAGUCAGGCUGGAAAACAGUCGUGAACCAAAGAAUCUAAACAAGGAAGAAAUGCUCUCAAGGUAUGCAUUUGCCAUAUGUUACUUUGUUCUCAAGUCAUCUUUGGUGAUGAGCUCCAUGACUUAAAGCAUGACAUCAGGGGUCGCAGGUCUGAGCCUGGCACACUUGGCGUCACAAGGCAAAGACUGAAGAUGUGUGGCACUGGUUACAAAGGGGAAUAGGCAAAAGGGGCACAGCCUGUCUUUGUUACCAAAAAUAAUUAAGUGCAUAAAGUAUAAAAACAUAGCUGGAAGAGGGCUUCCCUGGUGGCGCAGUAGUUGAGAGUCCGCCUGCCGAUGCAGGGGACGCGGAUUCGUGCCCCGGUCUGGGAGGAUCCCACAUGCCGCGAGCGGCUGGGCCCGUGAGCCAUGGGCACUGAGCCUGCGCGUCCGGAGCCUGUGCUCCGCAACGGGAGAGGGAGAGGCCACAACUGUGAGAGGCCUGCGCACCGCAAAACAACAACAACAACAAAAACAUAGCUGGAAGAAUAUGCCCCAAACUUAUCUAUUAAUCAUGAUUGUCUUUGGGAGGUGGGUUUAUAAGAAGGGAUAGUCACUUUCUAGGGUUUUUUUUUUUCCCUUCAAAAUUUGGAAAAUGGAUCUGUAUUACAUUUUGUGAACAGAAUUAAAAUUUUAAGUGGAUACAGUAUUCUCAGAUGAAUAGCAAAUUGUUACAAUGAGGUUGGUAAAGAAAAGCCACAGACUCUAAUUAUUUUCUACCAUACACAAAAAAUACACUUGCACAUACUAGAUACAGAACAGUUCAAAUAGAACUUUCUUUGGUGAUGGAUAUGACCUAUAUCUGUGCUGCCCAAUAUGGUAGCCACUAGCCAUGGGUGGCUACUGGGCACUUGAAAUGUGGCUAGCGCAGCUUAGGAACUUAUUUUUUAUUUAAUUUAAACUUAAAUAGUGCAUAUGGCUAGUGGCUACUGCAUUUGGACACACAGGUCUACAACUUUCCAUUUACAGGAAAUAAGAUUGUCAGCAGGGGCAGGGAGAGACCAGAUUUGGUAGCCAAGAGAUCUUCUAUAAGCCAUGUUCUGUUAUGCUGUCUAUCCAGUAGAGUCUAUGUACUCUAGGAUUGUUACAAGAAUAGAGGAGACACUUCUUUACACUUGUAAAGGCCACAGCAUUAACUUCAUCCUACCACACCCCUUCACAUUCUCCUGAGUUUAACUGCUCCAUUGAUAGACGAAGGAACUGACCUAUUAGAAAAGCAACAAUCAUCUCACCCAUCCUCAUUCAUCUCAAAUAUUUUAAAUGUUUUGUAUUUUUUUCUUAUAAGCUGUUUCUUUUCACCUCUCCUCCAUUAUCUUGUAUUCUACGUUGUCUUGAGACUUCUCCCAUUAAACCAUCAGCCAUUCA